UCGACCCGAAAACUUAAAUGGGUCGGCAUGAACCCGAACCCGAAAUUAAAUGGGUUAGGUUAAGGUUGAAAAUCUCAACCCGAAAACGACCCACUUAACCCGAAAUAAAUUUCAGGUCGGGUCAACCCGAACCCGACCUGAUAAACUCGAACAUUAUACGGUAUAAAAAAAAAACAAACAUGAUGGAUUAAAAUUCAGCCCAAGCCUAAAUACGUAACUAGUAUCUAAAACCCUAAAAUCCUUAAUGCCUCCUCACACAAUCAGCCGUUUAGGCUCUCUCCUCCUCCUCCUCUCUCUCUUCAACUCUAAACUCUUGAAAGUUGAAACCUCAAAUCCAAAUAAAUUAUUCUCGGUUGUUCCCAUCCUUAGAUCUUCCUCUCCUUCAUAAUUUAAGUGUUUAAAGAUUCACCACUUCAACCUUCAAGAUUUGGAUCCUUACACGCCACAAACAUAUCCUCUGCUUCAGCUUGCUUCAAGUCUCUGCUUCAACUUGCUUCAGCUUGCUUCAACAUUGUACAUUAUUUGAGAACUAUGUUGUAUAAAGUUUGUAAAAAAAAAAA